GGGUGGUUCAGUGGUAGAAUUCUCGCCU
rnacentral:piRNA from 4 species